rnacentral:lncRNA from 1 species
UUUGCUGGUGUCUUUGAUCUCUCCAUUGGGUGACAGACGAUGGAAUCUUGGACUCUGGUAUUCUGUAUUCUUCAUUUCAGAUUUUAAUUCGAAGUUUAUGUUUUCGUUUGAUCCAGUUUACAUUGCCUUUCAAUUUCAUUUACAUUCCCUGCACUUGCAUUUACUGUUUUAGCACUUUCAUUUUGUUAAUUCUACAUUGUGAGUUUGAUUCUUGUUUCCUGUUAGGAUUUUUAAACUUUGUUUUUAAGUUUUCAACAUUUUAUUACAUUUAGAUGAUUGUUUUAGGAACCUGUUUCAUUCCCUUUAGUUUUCCAAUACUUUUAAUUGUUGAUUCUGAAUUUGAUAUUACGGUGUUAAGAUGUGUGCAUAUAAUUUUGAUUUCAGCUUUGGCUCAUUGUUCUAUAUUCACUUUUCUUUCAUUUUUAUUUUGUUUCAAUUCUGUUUUGAUCUCUUUAGCAUUGUAUAUACCAAUUAGAGUUUGAUUUUCUUCUCGUUAAUCAUUGCAUUUCCAAUCAAGUGUCACCUCCAUUGCAUUCUACCUUUAGAUUCUUAUGCUUUUCUUUUAGUUUCUUUUGAUAAGUCAUUUUAGUUUAGGUAUUCCAAUUAUCUUUCUCCAUCAUAGAUUACAGUCUUAUUUCUUUUCCUUUGCAUCAUUUUAAUUUCCCCUUUUGCAUUCAUUUUAGAUAAAAUCAUUCGUUUGCAUUAGCAUUUAGUUCUUUUUUUUUUCAGAUUCCAUUUAAUCUUCAUUUUCCCCACCUAGUUUUAGUUUUAUUAAAUAAAUAGGCUUAAUUCUACAAUUCUAUCUUAACAAGAACCAAGUCCUUGGAUUAGACCCUAGGUUGUCCCUAUACUACACUAGUGGGGAAUUUAGGUUUGUUGAGAUUUUAGGAGACAAAAAAUCCUUUCAACACAAACAUGAACUUUCAUUUACAUACUAAUUUUUUAUUCUUUCUACUAGGUUACCGAGAAUAGAUUUAGGUAGAUGAUCUCUUCCCAUCUAAGUGUUUCUAUCGGUUUUCUCAC